GGAUCUACGGUUUCCGGCGGUCCGGCUCUACUUCUGUCUCCGGGGAACUGCGGCGGCGCUAUCGGGGAAGCAGCGGCUGGGCCCGCAGCCGUUCCCGGAGCUGUGCCACGGGUGCCAGGAGGUGGGCGCCCGCCGAAGGAGGAAUUGCCCAGUCACGCCCUCGUGACCAGUGGUGCCUGCAUUCAGCCCUUCCCCGCGCCCCAAGUGUGAAAGUGGAAGGAUGAACCCAGUGGGGUGCGACACUGACAGGAGAAGGCAUUGAGCGGUCCUAGGAAAGUGACCAGGCUGGUGUCCCAGGAUGGUCCACACCUGGCACCUCUCCAGUCCUCUCAUGCCCUCCCUUUACACCGAGCUUCCACACUGCAGUCAGGUGGGCCUCCCUUUUCCCUUUGAGGAUGCAGAUUUCCUCAUCCUUUCCAGAGAGGGGUUGUAUGUCUGUUUAUCUCUUGCCACUUAACCUCAGCGGCUUCAAAUAAUAAAAAUCAUUCUAUUAUUAUGUGCUGCAAUCUGGGGUUAUCUAGGCUCAGCUAGAUAGUUUGCACUUAGGAUCUCUCCUACAGUUGCUGCCAGAUGGUAGCUGGGGCUGCAGCCAUCCUAAAGCUUUCUCCCUCACAUCUUUGGUGGCUGAUGCUGGUGGCGGGCCAGGACCUCAUCUGUGCCUGUCAGGCAGCACACCUACAUGUGGCUUCUCCAUGCAACCAGGGCUUCCUUGCAGUAUGGCAACUGGGUUCCAAGGGUAGCCUUCCAGGACAACAAGGUGGACAACAUGUGCAUGGUAUUUUUAGGACCUAACCUCAGAAGUCACAUAGUGUCCCUCCUGCCACACUCUGUGGGUCAAGGCAGUCAGACAGAUCUGCCCAGGCUUAAGGGAUGAGGACAGGGACCCCACCCUUCAGUGGGAGGAGUGUCAAUAUUAGACUGUAGGAAGAGCAGGCGGGCUAGGGAAAUGUGGUCUGCUGCAGGGGCCCAAGUUCAGUUGUCACAGCAUCCCCUCCAAGGUGGUUAAGCUCUCCUGAAAGACUGAGGCAUGAGAGUGAGUGAGCAAGCCACAACCCUGCUGCUGCAGCUGGUCUGAGGCCAUGAUGGGUCACCACCCUCUGCCACUUGCCACCCCGGAUUCCCCACCCUCUGCUCUACAGCCACUCUGCUUAUUGUGGAGCCCUUUUCCCCUUUCAGUCUGAGCUCUUACUGUCCCUGUUCUUACUGAGUCAUCGUUUUUUUCGUUUGUUUCUUUGUUUUGUUUUGUUUUUUGAGAUGGAGUCUUACUCUGCACCCAGGCUAGAGUGCCGUGGCACAAUGUC
rnacentral:lncRNA from 1 species